rnacentral:rRNA from 1 species
UAUGUGAUCGUCUCUCGCAUAUCAAUAAGCGGAGGAAAAGAAACUAACAAGGAUUCCCCUAGUAACGGCGAGUGAAGCGGGAAGAGCUCAAAUUUGAAAUCUUAAAGGGUUUCCCUUUACGAAUUGUAGUUUAAAGAAGUGUUUUCUGUUGAGGUUUUGGUAAAAGUUCUUUGGAAUAGGACAUCAUAGAGGGUGAGAAUCCCGUAUUUGACCUUUACUUUCAACUUUGUGAUGACACUUUCAAAGAGUCGGAUUGUUUGGGAAUGCAGUCCAAAAUGGGUGGUAAAUUUCAUCUAAAGCUAAAUAUUGGCGAGAGACCGAUAGCGAACAAGUACCGUGAGGGAAAGAUGAAAAGAACUUUGAAAAGAGAGUUAAACAGUACGUGAAAUUGUCAAAAGGGAAGCGUUUGACACCAGUGUUGUUUUUCUGAAAAUCAAUUAAAGAACUGUUUAUGCUAAGCUGUUUAGACUUUAUCAGCUAAUCUGUUUAGUUUUGAGCUUUUCUUUAAUGCACUUUUCAGUUAACAAGUCAACAUCAAUUUCUUUUGCUGUAAAAAAGCUUGAGGAAGGUGGCUUGAGAUUCGUCUUAAGUGUUUAUAGCCUCUUGCCUAUGCAGUCGGAGAGAUUGAGGUCUGCAGCGUAGAUCCUUCGGGGCUAAAUGCAUUUGUGCUAAGUUAUAGCAUUUUAUAGACAACUUGUUGACUAUGAUUUGUCUUGUAGCUUACUCGCUUAUGUUAUUUUACCUACGCUUAGGAUGUUGAUAUGCAUGACUGAUAU